rnacentral:lncRNA from 1 species
UUUGGGUAUAUAUCCGUAAGUGGAAUAAGUAUAUCUAUUUUUAAUUUUUGGAGGAAACUCCCUAUUGUUUUUCAUAAUGACUGAAACAACUGCAUUACCACCAAUAUAGUGUAUGAGGGUUCCCUUUGCCUCACAGCCUUGCCAAGGCUUGUUAUCUCUUCUUGUCUUCUUGAGCUUAGCUAUUCUAACAGGUGUGAGGCGGUAUUUUCUUGUCAUUUUGAUUUGCAUUUCCUUGACGAUUAGUGAUGUUUAGUAUCUUUUAUGUACCUGUUGGCCAUUUGGAUGCCUUCAUUCAGCUCUUCCAGAUUUUUUACCUGCAAAUGUAAGUCAGGCCAACCGCGCAUCACAGUGGCCAACCAGUCAUCACUGAGAAAAAGGAUAAAGAACUCUGUCUUCAGCCUCAGCUCUUACUUAGGUGAGGAGUUACUGGGCCUUCAUUAGUGAAGUGCAUCUGACCCCACUUAGCUCCUGCUCCCUAUUUGUCUUUAUUAAUUAGGCUGCAGGGGUGGGAGGAUAAAGGAUUGGGACUUCAAACUUCUAAUAUGUAAUUCACGAAGGCUGGUUUCCACUGUCACUUCAAUUGGGACUAUAUUAAAGAAAUGUGUUCAGGGACGAAUCAAAGUGGAAGAGCAUGCUGCAAAUAAGGGAGCAAUUAGGUUGUUUGCAUAUUUUUGAACUUGAGUGUACGACUGAAGGAGAGUAGUCCUGUCUAGCUGCUCAUCCAUUCCACCUGGUCCCAGGCAGAGAUCGCUUGCCCUCCACAUUCUUCUAUCAGGCCAAGAUAGGACUCAACAUGUCAAGCCACACUUCUAUACUAUACCAAGCUGAAUCUGAGUACUGAAGGUGUGUGUGGGUUCUCACUCCUACCACCUUGUGGAGUAACACCGAUGCACCUGUUCUUUCUGUACUUCCUGCCCCCUGAAUCUUACUGAACUCCCAGACCCUUUCAAAACCCACUUCAGGAAGUACUCUGGGAAGGCUUUCCUGUCUCCCCAAAGAUGUAAAUGAUCUCAUUCUCUGUGCUACUUCCAUAUUUUAUAUAUUUUGAAUAUGAUAAGAGUACUUUCUACAUGUCACAGUGUCCUAAGUGCCAUAUAUUGACUCAUUUUUAAAAAUAUUAUUACAUUCCUUAACUCCGUACAGCAACAGCAGAAUGGCACAAAGUUGGCUGUGCAACAGAGAGCCAGCAAUUCUUUCACACUACAGCAUAACCAAGAAUGGGGACGAUUCUAUUCCACAGGCUUCAAUACAGUGCUGAUAUACUGACUCAUUUAACUUCCACCAUAAUUCUGGGGGUAGAUACUUAUUUUUAUUUACUUCACAGAGGAGGGAACUACCAGGCACACAAGCAAAUAACCUGCUCUAAAUGACCUGCUUUGAAUCCAUGCAGCUCUUAAAACAUUCUUCCAUGUACUUCUAUUGCUGCAUUUAAUACACUAUGUUGCUGUUUGUUUCCUUCCAAGUUUUCUUCAAUACUGUGAGGCUCUAAAAGCAAGGACCUGGGCAGCCCGCGUGGAUCAGCGGUUUAGCGCCACCUUCAGUCCAGGGCCUGAUCCUGGAGACCCAGGAUCGAGUCCCAUGUCAGGCUCCCUGCAUGGAGCCUGCUUCUCCCUCUGCCUGUGUCUCUGCCCGCUCCUCUCUCUGUUUCUCACGAAUAAAUAAAUAAAAUCUUUAAAAAAUAAAAAAUAAAAGCAAGGACCUGUUCAUAUUGAGCUCUGGAUCCCCAUUACUUGGCAGUCCCAAACUGAUGGACCUCCUUCGUGUUUACUGGGCCAUCCAUGGCAGAGACACUCAACUGGGCCUGGCCAAAUCACCAACUUUCUCAUAAGCUGGAGUGGUCUAGAAUUAAGUAAAUCAAGUACAUCGGCCAUCUGCAGUCAAUCUUGGGAAAUACCUCAUCUGAAUCUAGAGCAAAGAAAAAGGAACAUCAUUCUGUAAGAAACUCCAGAACCUCAAAAAAAAUUGGAAACUAAAUCUCUCAAGGUAAAACAACUCAGAAUCUAGAAUCGACUCUUUGGAUUCAAGAAAGCGAACUCACGAGACUUUGCUUGCCCAUUGGUAGGUCAAUCACGACUCCGUAAUAUUAAUAACAAAUAAUACAAACUACAAAAAAAUCAAAUGGGAGACAGGUGAAUUACAGCUGAGGGCAAUCAGCAGCAUGCACCCAUAAAAGUACACUUAACACACAUAAUAGCAACUAAAAGCCUGCAGUGCAGAGUACUAUUCUGGGAUUUGAGUCUGACUCUGCCCCCGACACCUGUAUGACCUUGGCUAGGUUCAACCUUUCAAUACCCGAUGUUCCACAUCUAUAAAACACAGGCAAAAGGAGAUCCAUGUUUUACUGUUGUUAUGAGGAUUAAAUGAGUAAUAGGAGUCAGAUGCUUAGCACAGUGCCAACGUACAGUAAGGGUCCAAUAAACAAGAGCUAUUAUUCUUCCUGCUUAUUUAGCAACUGAGGCAGAGAACUGCUGGCAUGUAAGGCACUUAUUACAAUCACCCAUCAGCCUUUGCUCCUGGUGCCUGGCACACAGGGAGUAUUGAGUGGGUUUUUGUGGAAUGAAUGAAUUGCCAAAGUGCUCUCCAGGCUUCCGUUUAAGGAGAGAAACUAGAAUGGCAACCAGAAAUAAGGCCUAAGUGUCCCCAAGGUCUAGUCCAGUGAACCCUUCUAUUAACGAGAUUGAUGUAUUACAGACGUCCACAGUAUGUGUUCAUAAUAAUGAUCCUUAGCCUUGUAUAAAUCCUCUUCUGUUUUAGGAAUUUUCAAUGGUUAAAUUACAUUCAAAGAAGUUUUAAAAUUAAGUAUGUAUUACUGCAUUCAAAGGCUUUAAGAAUUGGAAAUCCAUGUAGAGCAUAAAUGGCCACAAUGAAUUAACUGGAAUAUUCUGAUUGAUUGCAACACUCAGUUCACACUUCUCUGCCCACACAGCGUCGUAUCCGUCUACAUUCUCUAUUUCCCACUAGACUGUGAACGCCUCUGAUGUCUAGCACUUCAGUACCCACAGUGCCUGGGACAUAAUCAUGGUCAGUAAAUACUUGCCAAUAAACUGCCGCUGUGCUCGGCGGCCUCGUCACAUCACUGUGCUUAAUGCAGCAACAUAGCCUUUUGGUGUAUUACAUUCCCACAAAAACGAUACAAAUUUCCUAUCUUAAGAUUUUUAAUUACAAAUUUCAACAUUGAAAAAUAUGGUACGCUGUGAGAAAACCUUCUUUUAAAGAAAAUCCCUUAAAAUUUGGGGAUCCCUGGGUGGCUCAACGGUUUGGCCCAGGGCGUAAUCCUGGAGUUCCUCAUCAGGCUCCCUGCAUGGAGCCUGCUUCUCCCUCUGCCUGUGUCUUAGCGCCCUCGCCCCGUCUCUCAUGAAUAAAUAAAUAAAAUCUUAAAAAAAAAAAAAAGCAAUCUGAUUCCUCCUCUUACACAUGAAGAUAUUAGGCUCAGGAAACUGCUCUGCACUCAUGUCAGAAAGAAAAUUGAGUUGAAAAAAGAAAACCCGCUUAUCACCUCCUGGACUCCUACCCAAGUACCAGGGAAAAUGGCCUGUGUACUGGCAUGAAAGGUGGGUGCCCAGGAAGUGAAGUCCAACCCUAAAGCCCAGUGCCCCCAGGCUCCUAUCAUAGUCCACUGGGGUCUUUAACACCUAUCGAGGCCUAAGAGAAGCUGAUCUAAAGUACCCUACUUGGGUACUUGAAGUGUAGCAGGGACUAAAAUUUUAGCAAGAGGAACUUGACUUUAAAGGAGGGAGUUCAGUUUUCAUCCUCUCAAUAGGGAGGUUUUGGUGUUUGCAUUAAAGUAGGAUGCCAAAGACAAACCCCCUUUCUCUCACAACUUCUUCUGGGGUCUGCACCAUUUUCCUGGAGGGGAGAAACUAUGUAUGAGGGGGAAGGUUUCUGGAAAAGUACACUCUGGUUAUUCACUUUGGCCUGGAAGCAGAAUUCCCCCAAAGAGUGAUCAGGACUCAGUGAGUUGGGCAGGAAAUGGUUCUAUGAAAAUGGACAUUAUCUAUUUCUCAGAGCUAUUCCUGAGGAUUAAACGAGGUAUUUUAGAGCAUUUAUAACACACUGUCAGGCACAUAAGGGCAUAAUAAGUGUUUACUCUUAUUUCACUGUUAAGUACCAACAAUGAUGAAAAUAAGCCUCAAGGAAAAUUUGUUCAUAGACCAUUAGGAACAACUGCAACUCUGCUGAACUCCUUAAGGGCUGCUUCCAAUACAAUAGAGCAAAAACUGUUUUCUUUUUUAAGAUCUAUCAUUUUAGAAGUUACUGUGGCAACAUGUAAUUUCAAAUGUUUCCAAUGCCCAGCAAUCAUAAUAUAUUUACUACAGUUUGUUGGUUAAAACAUCCUAUAAGUGUGU